rnacentral:rRNA from 1 species
GACGAACGCUGGCGGCGUGCUUAACACAUGCAAGUCGAGCGGUAAGGCCCUUCGGGGUACGACGAGCGGCGAACGGGUGAGUAACACGUGGGUGACCUGCCUCUAGCUCUGGGAUAAGCCUGGGAAACUGGGUCUAAUACCGGAUAUGACUCCACGGCGCAUGUUGUGGGGUGGAAAGCCUUGUGUGGCUAGAGAUGGGCCCGCGGCCUAUCAGCUUGUUGGUGGGGUGGGGCCUACCAAGGCGACGACGGGUAGCCGGCCUGAGAGGGCGACCGCCACACUGGGACUGAGACACGGCCCAGACUCCUACGGGAGGCAGCAGGUGGGGAAUCUUGCGCAAUGGGCGAAAGCCUGACGCAGCGACGCCGCGUGAGGGAUGACGGCCU